CAUUUCAUAAUUUUGAUGUUACUUUCACGUCAAAUUUUUGCUACAAUGUUUCAACUUGUACUCGUACUCAUCGCAUCAUGUUUAAUUUACGCACACGGGGCAAUUUUCGACCCCGGAGAGCUCAGACUGAAGGUGCUAAAGUUUGACCCUAAAUCAAUAAAUUAUUGCAAAAUGUCUUGUGGAAAAGUUGAACAUUCAGCUUGCAAAUGCAGUCGAGCAGGAGGUCGUGAAGAACUAGAUCUUAAAAACAUUACCAACUUUCGCAAAUUACUAUUAGACUUACACAACGAAGCAAGAAAUAAUGUUGCUUCCGGAAAAGAAACUAGAGGCGAAUUGACUUCAGCUUCCAACAUGAUGGCUGUGAGUUACAGUUUAGAAUUGGAAUACUUUGCCAGAUGUUAUAUGAGGAAUAGGUUUACUGGGCGUCUUGAGCCGGGUAAUUGUCGUGUAAUGUCAAAUGGUCGAAAGGCAGGACAGUGUGUCAUUGGUAGUAAGGGAAAGCAAACUGAUCUUUCUUGGGUAAAGAAAGCUUUCGAACAGUGGAUGGGUCAAAUCCAGUACAUAAGAAAGAGGUACAUCGAUAGUUACUCUUUGCCGUCUGGAGGAGAUGGCGAGAAUGGAGAUUUUAUAGAAAUAAUGUGGGCGGCUGUUAAUGAAAUAGGAUGCGCUCGAAUCUACGCAAAAGACAUAAAGAAACUGAAAUAUAUAAUGCCUUAUGAAACAGGUCUUAUCUGUAACUACGGAAUUACAAUCUCAGAAGAUCAAAAUUUGUCACCGAAUGAGCCAGGCAGACCAGUGUUUAAAAGGGGAAAACCUUGUUCAGAAUGUCCUGAAUUUACGAAAUGUAACAAAGAGUACACCUCAUUGUGCGGAGAAAUUGCUCCUCUCCCAACAGGUCCAGCGUAUGAUUUUGACAAUACUUCAAAAGCCAUGACAAACAAACUUAAGAGACUAACGCUUUUAGUUGUGACUUUUUCCUUUUUGGUUUUAUUGUAAGUAAAUGUACUAACAAAAUUAAUAAACAAAAUUAUACAACUU